AUUGAACGCUGGCGGCAGGCCUAACACAUGCAAGUCGAACGAGUGGCGGAGGGGAGCGUAGUGUAUGAGAAAGUGCGUGACGGAGGGGGCAAAGUAGUGGAAACGGUAGCUACUACCGCAUAACAUAGGAUGUGCAGAGGUGGGAUUAGCUAGUGGGUGGGGUAAAGGCUCACCUUGGGGACGCUCCCUAGCUGGUCUGAGAGGAUGACCAGCCACACUGGAACUGAGACACGGCCCAGAUGCCUACGGGAGGCAGCAGUAGGGAAUAUUGCACAAUGGGCGCAAGCCUGAUGCAGCCAUGCCGCGUGUAUGAAGAAGGUCUUCGGGUUGUAAAGUACUUUCAGCGGGGAGGCGUUACCCGCAGAAGAAGCACCGGCUAACUCCGUGCCAGCAGCCGCGGUAAUUC
rnacentral:rRNA from 1 species